ensembl:snRNA U6 U6 spliceosomal RNA
GUGCUCGCUUCGGCCGCACAUGUACUGGAAUCGAACGGGACAGAGAAGACGAGCAUGGCCCUGCAGGGACGACAUGCAAAUUCGCGAAGCGUUCCAUGUUUUA